rnacentral:rRNA from 1 species
CCCUUAGAUGCUCUGGGCCGCACGCGCGCUACACUGGUCGAUGCAACGAGUUUCUUUCCUUGGCCGACUGGCCUGGGCAAUCUUUGAACAUCGAUCGUGAUCGGGAUAGAUUCUUGUAAUUUUUGAUCUUAAACGAGGAAUUCCUAGUAAACGCAAGUCAUCAGCUUGCAUUGAUUACGUCCCUGCCCUUUGUACACACCGCCCGUCGCACCUACCGAUUGAAUGGUCCGGUGAAAUCUCCGGACUGGCGUGAGUCGGAGCAAUCUGACAAACACCGGAAAGUUGAUUAAACCUUACCAUUUAGAGGAAGGUGAAGUCGUAACA